GGGGUUGUGGCUCAACGGUAGAGCGCGUGCCUAGCUCGUACAGGGCUCUGGGUUCGAUCCUCAGCACCACA
rnacentral:tRNA from 1 species